UUCACAGGGAGGUGUCAUUUAUGUGAACUAAACUAUAAAUGUCACCUUUCUGCGAAGG
rnacentral:pre_miRNA from 1 species